GUGCCCCUAAAUUUAAUGCAGUGUGUUAAGAGGCUAUGGCAAAAGGAUAAAGUAAAUCUCCAUAUAACCCAAAGAAGAGACUGCAGCAUUCCAUGUUGUCUGGAGUCACAGUU
ensembl:snoRNA